ACACACACACCAUAAGAAAAACCCUAAACAAAACACUGACGAGUUCCUCUUCCAGAAUGGACUGUAGCAAUGAAACAAGCCCAUUGUAUUGGCCACAUAGUUUUGAAAUGACUAGGAACACUAACUAGGCUAAUCCCAGAUGAUAAAAGAGACACGAAGGGUCAGUCUGAAAAUACCAUACUUUCAAUUUUGCCCAGUUCCUGCUACACACUGUUCUGCUUAAAUAGGAGUCCAAGAGAAAGCUUUUUUUCUUCAAUGCUAGAAUCAUGCAAGGUUCAAAUGGAGAAGAUGCUGCCCACUGUGCUGAGACUGGAUGGACGUGGGCCAGGCAUGGGAUUAUGUCUAAAGCACUAAGGAAAUCAAUGUGAUGCAAUGGAACAGAACAUUGAACCCCAUCUUUUUGUACUGCCGGCUGCAUGGAUUCACCACUACCUUAUACUGAAUUGCUUGGAGGAAGGGCAGGAUUAUGAAGGAGAGUGAGAAAUGAAGGCUAUGACGGAUUUGUCAGUUUGUAAUUUUUCAAAAGAAAUCCCAAGCAGCCACUACAUUCUCAGCCUAUUACAUAAAUUCUAUUGAUUAUGUUCCUGUAAAAUGAUAUAUCCUGGAAGAAGGUGGCUGGUGGGCUAAACAACUGAACAAUAGCGCAUCUUGUUUGCCGGUUCACCUGACUUCCACAUUUCUGACUCAUCAAAGUACUCAAGUUGUUUAAGGAGAUUCGGGUAAAGAAUGUGUGUCGUUCAGCAGCUUGCAUUGUCUUGAGUUUACAUCACUGCACCUGUUUUGUAACUUUUGUUAUCUGCAACAAAUGCCAUGGAUUAAGUUGGUCCAAAGAAAAAGGCAAAAGAAACUAGCAUUGUGUUGCACGUUUAGAGGGGCACUAGAGACCUAACCAUGAACAAUAUCCUACAAUAUAAUCCUAUGUAAUUUACUCAACAGUAAA